rnacentral:misc_RNA from 1 species
UAACCAGACUCCCCAGUUGGCGAAAAAAGAAUAAUCGGAAGACCAUUCCACUUUAUGGAUAUGGUUUUGAUAGGCCAUUCCGCAGAAGGUCAGGAUAUGGAUAAAGGCCAAUGCUAUGGCCGCUGGUGUGUGCCAUCUUCCGCUGGUUGGUUGAUGUUCGUCGCCUGCUGCCAUGCGNCCUCUCCAGAACCUCAUGACACAUCAUAUCCACCGGCCUAUCAACCAGAUGCUGUCAGCCCGCCGCCAUCUCGCUGCGGAUUUCGGCGCGGAGUUCGUCGAUCAGCUUGAGACCCUUCUUGGUCUCGACGUGCCAGAACGACCAGCCGUUGCAGGCUUU